AAGAGCUCCGGCCCCUCUCAGCUCUGACCACUCUCUGCAGACAGCCUCCAACAGGGCCUCUUGGGACUGGCCAGGGACGCAGCAGGAGGCAGGUGCCAGGGGCUCGUUCCUCCCUGCACCCUGUGGCCUUUCCACUGGACUGCUCACCUGCCUGCCACCCCAGGAGGACAUCCUGAGUCCCUACUGCGGUCAGCCUCGGGGGAGGGCCACCUGGGUGAGUUGAGUCCUGGCCACUCAGGGCCCCUUGAGCUUCUCUUUUGCUCUCUGGGGGCAUUUUGUGUGGGCAUAGGUGGGAUUUUAGCUGCUGUGUGGACAACGGGGUCAGAAUAAGGGCUUAGGGGCCCAUGAAAGAGCCGGCACAGAGCACACCGCUCCUGACAGCUGUGGGGGCUGCUGGAGCCGCAGGGUCUGCUUGCUCAGGGGGCCCUGCAGGGUCCAGGGCUGGCUCCGUCCACCCUGUCUCCCCCCUAUAGGCACUGCUUUGGGAGAGCUCAAGACAAGUCCUGUGCCUGCUACAACAAAAGCCCUCUCCUGAAGCCUCUGGAAUGUGGCCGAGCUCAGCCCACCCACUGCUGCCCACCUCUGGACCUGCUGCUCUUGGCAGACUCCACCCAGAGUUUAACGCCCAAGCCACCACCACAGCAGUGUCCAGGCCAUCUGCUCUGGCAACGGCUACCCUCGGAGCAUCCUCCAGAUGGUGACAAACUGCAGAGCUUGCAGACCUGGCCACCCCCACAGCGGAUGCUGGAGGAGUCCCCUGCAACCAGCUAAGCUCAUGUCACCGGCAGAGGCUUCUAAAUAUAGCAGCAGGCUUCACAUGGGAAGGGACUUCCAAAUGGACCUUCAGGAGAACCAGAUGUCAGCUGGACGCGGCUCCAAGUCUUCCCACCCGUUAUUUCCUGGAGAGGGCAGCCAUGCACAGAACCCAGGCCCACCAUGCCUGUCCUGGGGGCUCUCCCAGCUCACUGUUGGGCAGGAGGAGGGCACCAUUCCUCUGCACCCCCUGGAGUUUGCAGAUGCUGUGGCCCACACUGCUCCAGCCGAGCAUGGUCAUUGAGACCUGUCACCGAGUGACAGAAUGCUCACGUCCACUCCAGGGCAGCCACUGUUCCUUCCACAUUUGCAGGUGAGGAAACUGAGGCAGAAAGGACUUU
rnacentral:lncRNA from 1 species